UCGUAGAGAAGAGAAGAAUAAAAUAACGGUGAAGAAACAAAGAACGACGGAAGAAGGAGAAGAGGGUGGCGACGACAGGGACGGUCACAGAGAAGGAUGCUAGUUCGACAGAGAAAAGAAGAGAAAUGAGGCGACGGCGGUGAUGAAUGCCACCACCGCUGUUGGAUUCGUAGAACCGUGUCCAUUUAGCUAUCAAGCGGCAUUCUGCAGAGUGAUCCAUAUGAGAGAUGGUGUCAAGCUUUGGAUUGAAUAAAUUGAAAAAGCUAAAUUAGCUUUGGCUAAGGAUGAGGCUGAGCUUUCAAAAUUGAAAAAAGAAGAAAGCACACUUAAAGAUAUUGUGCAACAGCUAAGCGGUAUCCUUUUUCUUUCAUGCUGCUCAUGACUGACUCUGAACUUGAAUGUAAUGAAAAACGGCUGCCAGAUGCACCAGACAGGACACCGGCUGCCAAUAUUGAAGGUGGCUGAAGCAUUGCAUUUUUAGGCACUGUCUAAGUCUCUAAGACAUUAACUGUAGAUGAACUGCUUUAUUUAAAGGAGGAGUUUACACUUUUGGAGCCAAACAAAAAUGUAACCAUUAGUCUAGAAAACAUCAAAGCGGCCUCGAUGAAAAAUGCAACAAAUGCUAUGGAGUCACGCAUUCUUGACUUUUUUGGAUCAGUAAGUUCUAUGAUUUAACUAUACCAAUGCUUCCAU